rnacentral:rRNA from 1 species
UACGAAGGGGGCUAGCGUUGCUCGGAAUCACUGGGCGUAACGGGUGCGUAGGCGGGUUUUUAAGUCAGGGGUGAAAUCCUGGAGCUCAACUCCAGAACUGCCUUUGAUACUGAAGAUCUUGAGUCCGGGAGAGGUGAGUGGAACUGCGAGUGUAGAGGUGAAAUUCGUAGAUAUUCGCAAGAACACCAGUGGCGAAGGCGGCUCACUGGCCCGAUACUGACGCUGAGGUGCGAAAGCGUGGGGAGCAAACAGG